rnacentral:tRNA from 1 species
GGAGAGAUUGCUCAAUGGUUAAGAGCACUGAAUGAAUGCUUUUGUUCAGGGAGCCUGGGUUCAAUUCCCAGCAUCCCA